GACGAACGCUGGCGGCGUGCUUAACACAUGCAAGUCGAACGGAAAGGCCCUGCUUUUGUGGGGUGCUCGAGUGGCGAACGGGUGAGUAACACGUGAGUAACCUGCCCUUUACUUUGGGAUAACUUCAGGAAACUGGGGCUAAUACCGGAUAGGAGCUCCUGCUGCAUGGUGGGGGUUGGAAAGUUUCGGCGGUUGGGGAUGGACUCGCGGCUUAUCAGCUUGUUGGUGGGGUAGUGGCUUACCAAGGCUUUGACGGGUAGCCGGCCUGAGAGGGUGAACGGCCACAUUGGGACUGAGAUACGGCCCAGACUCCUACGGGAGGCAGCAGUGGGGAAUAUUGCACAAUGGGCGGAAGCCUGAUGCAGCAACGCCGCGUGCGGGAUGAAGGCCUUCGGGUUGUAAACCGCUUUCGCCUGUGACGAAGCGUGAGUGACGGUAAUGGGUAAAGAAGCACCGGCUAACUACGUG
rnacentral:rRNA from 1 species